rnacentral:rRNA from 1 species
CCUACGGGCGGCAGCAGUGGGGAAUAUUGCACAAUGGGCGCAAGCCUGAUGCAGCCAUGCCGCGUGUGUGAAGAGGGCCUUCGGGUUGUAAAGCACUUUCAGCGGGGAGGAAGGCGGUGAGGUUAAUAACCUCAUCGAUUGACGUUACCCGCAGAAGAAGCACCGGCUAACUCCGUGCCAGCAGCCGCGGUAAUACGGAGGGUGCAAGCGUUAAUCGGAAUUACUGGGCGUAAAGCGCACGCAGGCGGUCUGUCAAGUCGGAUGUGAAAUCCCCGGGCUCAACCUGGGAACUGCAUUCGAAACUGGCAGGCUAGAGUCGUGUAGAGGGGGGUAGAAUUCCAGGUGUAGCGGUGAAAUGCGUAGAGAUCUGGAGGAAUACCGGUGGCGAAGGCGGCCCCCUGGACAAAGACUGACGCUCAGGUGCGAAAGCGUGGGGAGCAAACAGGAUUAGAUACCCGUGUAGUC